rnacentral:rRNA from 1 species
CACCAGACUCCUACGGGAGGCAGCAGUGGGGAAUAUUGCACAAUGGGGGAAACCCUGAUGCAGCGACGCCGCGUGAGCGAUGAAGUAUUUCGGUAUGUAAAGCUCUAUCAGCAGGGAAGAAGAUGACGGUACCUGACUAAGAAGCCCCGGCUAACUACGUGCCAGCAGCCGCGGUAAUACGUAGGGGGCAAGCGUUAUCCGGAUUUACUGGGUGUAAAGGGAGCGUAGACGGCGAUGCAAGCCAGAUGUGAAAGCCCGGGGCCCAACCCCGGGACUGCAUUUGGAACUGUGUGGCUGGAGUGUCGGAGGGGCAGGCGGAAUUCCUAGUGUAGCGGUGAAAUGCGUAGAUAUUAGGAGGAACACCAGUGGCGAAGGCGGCCUGCUGGACGAUGACUGACGUUGAGGCUCGAAAGCGUGGGGAGCAAACAGGAUUAGAUACCCUAGUAA